UGUUGGCAAUCAGGGAUGGCAUUACUAUGACGGAAUGAAAGAGACAUCCAAAGCAGGUGGUGGAGUUGUUAAAGUCAAUGAUGCGGAAGUGAGGAGACUCAUGUUACAAAGCUGGAUUGCAGGACACUUGGUCCUUGUAACAAAAAAUAAAUAAAAUUGGUGGUGCGAUCGUCACAUGGAAGUCUGAAGAUAAGUGUACAGCGACUCCAAGAGGAGUGUGACGUUGUUCCUGUUUGUUGGGUUAAAAAAUUAUCUGGGAU